GCGGCAGGCCUAACACAUGCAAGUCGAACGCUGUAGCAAUACAGAGUGGCAGACGGGUGAGUAACGCGUGGGAACAUGCCCUUCGGUUCGGAAUAACUCAGGGAAACUUGAGCUAAUACCGGAUACGCCCUUAGGGGGAAAGAUUUAUUGCCGAAGGAUUGGCCCGCGUCCGAUUAGCUAGUUGGUGAGGUAAUGGCUCACCAAGGCGACGAUCGGUAGCUGGUCUGAGAGGAUGAUCAGCCACACUGGGACUGAGACACGGCCCAGACUCCUACGGGAGGCAGCAGUGGGGAAUAUUGGACAAUGGGCGCAAGCCUGACCCAGCCAUGCCGCGUGAGUGAUGAAGGCCCUAGGGUUGUAAAGCUCUUUCGCCAGGGACGAUAAUGACGGUACCUGGAUAAGAAGCCCCGGCUAACUUCGUGCCA
rnacentral:rRNA from 1 species